AACCAUUUUCCUUUCACUUUAUUCAAAAACCGCAACCGGUAACGAAUAAGCGAAAAACUUUCCCUCUCUGUAAAACUUCUAAACAAGCCAUGGACAAUAUUACAAGACAAUCGCCACACGCAAAGUAGGCUUAGCGCAGCGCUGGCCGUUCAAUUGUGUUAUUCUCGGGCGCGUAGACUGUCCUGGCAGUGUGCAAAAAUCGAGAUUUUUUCGACUUGUCGCGUAUUUUUUUCGUUCUAGCUCGAUUCCGGUCGAGAAUAGUAACUUGGGCGGCCAGAAAUAUUGAGUUUUCCUCCCGUCGAUUCGGAUCAAUCAAGCGUAAACAAAGCAAUCGACACGACGAUGGCUCAAUCGGAAAGACUUUGACGUGGAGUUUAUUUAAGCAGUGAGUUGUGAUCAUCUUGUACCCCUCUUCGUGCGACGUUUUACACUUUUGAAUUUCGGACGACGUUUUCGGAAAAUUUCAAGCAUAUUUUUUGGGAUUUAUUCUUUCAACAGGAGAGCCAUGGCAAAGACAAUCAUGUUGGUAUUCUUCUUCGGAAUCUUCUGUCGUAACACAACCUGCGAAGUUCACAAAUAUAUGACCUUAGAUGAAGUAAGGAGUACGUUUUAUGUAGAUAGUCAUCACUUAGUGCCAGAAUAUGAAUUAGUUACUAUCCGUCACAUUACGAAACGUAGCAUAUCAGCACCCAAUCGCAAAGAAAAUUCGAUUCAUCACGAAAUUACAAGGAAUGAUACCACGUGGAAUCUUAAAAGUCCACAUUCGAAAAGCAGCAUCGACAGUAACGUUAAGCCCGAUGCUCACAUUACGGAAUUAAGACUAAAAGCGUUCGGCACUUCGUUUAACUUGAAUCUCGUACCAACAGAGGGCCUUUACAAAAAAGGAAAAUUUAAACUGUGGAGCAUAGAGCCCAACGCCACCGACCAACACGGAAUAAAGCUCAUUGAACAUCCGGAGGCAGACGAAGAUAUCGGAGACGCAUAUCAAGACGAGAAAAAUCAAGCAGCAGUUCUAUUGAGAAAAGAAGAUGACAAAAUUUUUGUGGAAGGAAGCAUAGGGUCUUCUAUAGUAAUUCGUCCUCUUCCUAUAAGACUGCGUGAUGAGAAAAUUGCAACCCGUCGACCAAAUAAUCAAAAUGACUUCUGGGAUGUUGGUGGAACGCUUGGCACGGUAUCAUCAAUCGAGACUGUUUUGCCAGCUGACGAGAACGGUGCGGAAGAAACUGUACAUCACCAUAUUGUGUUCAAAAGGAAAGAAAGUGCCGAAGAUGUUACAGGAGACUAUGCUUUUAUGGAACCAGAUCACUUAUCGAAACGAUUUAGGCGCAGCUCGGAAACGAAAACUAGGAAGAAACGGGAAGCCCCGUACACCAUUUACCCCGAAAUUUUGGUUAUAGUCGAUUACGAUGGUUACCGAUUACACGGAGGCGACAAUGUGCAAAUUAAAAGGUACUUUGUGUCCUUCUGGAAUGGAGUCGACAUGAGAUACAAGUUACUCAAAGGGCCGAAAAUUAGGGUGUCCAUUGCAGGAAUUAUCAUUAGCAGAGGUAGAGAUGCAACUCCAUAUCUAGAACGUAACAGAGUGGGAAGGGAUGCUAUAGAUUCAGCAGCCGCUCUUACAGAUAUGGGAAAAUAUUUAUUUAGGGAAAGAAGAUUACCAGUUUACGAUAUAGCGGUGGCGAUAACCAAACUAGACAUGUGCAGAAGAACGCACCCAAGUGACAAUUGUAAUCGAGGCACCGCAGGGUUUGCCUAUGUUGGUGGCGCGUGCGUGGUCAAUAAACGAUUAGAAAAAGUAAAUUCAGUAGCUAUAAUUGAAGACACCGGAGGAUUUAGUGGCAUAAUCGUAGCAGCUCACGAAGUUGGACAUUUGUUAGGAGCCGUGCACGACGGUAGUCCACCGCCUUCUUAUUUGGGAGGUCCAGGUGCUGAGAAAUGCAAAUGGACAGAUGGGUUUAUAAUGUCUGAUUUGAGGCACACGGAAAGGGGAUUCCGUUGGUCCCCAUGUAGUGUUUCGAGUUUCCACCACUUCUUAAAUGGUGAUACUGCGACAUGUUUGUAUAAUGAGCCGCACGAAGAUGCGAGUUUGCCAAGAGUUCUUCCCGGUAAACUUCUCACUUUGGAUGCUCAAUGUAGAAGAGACCGCGGUACAAGCGCGUGUUUUAAAGAUGAUAGAGUGUGUGCGCAACUGUUUUGUUUCGACUCUGGGAGCGGCUACUGUGUAGCCUACAGACCUGCAGCUGAAGGAUCGGCUUGUGGAGACGGCCAGCAUUGCUUAAAUGGCCGUUGCGUAGCAGAACACGAAAACAUCAUUCCCGACUAUUCACAGAAUUCGGCAACGUAUGUGAGAGCGAACGAAAAUCGCGGAAGACCUUUGUUCGAUGAGGAAGAGGAAGAGAAGUUGAAGAACAAAGAUCCAUAUUUCAACGACGACUCUAACUAUUACAAUCCAACCUAUGGUCAAAAUUACCAAAAUAACGUAGCCCAAAUUCAAACCCAAAACGGUAAAUUUAUUAAGUACGAGAAUCAAGUUAGUCAAAGUGAUCCUUCCAAUAAAAAUUCCAAUACAAAUUUCGAUGACGUUACAUACAAAUAUGGUCCCGAGCAACCGUCUACGAAUUUGGCCUCGACCAGUUUUACUAGGACGUUUUCGUGGAGUUGGUUUACAAUAUCUACUACCAAAUCCCCGUACGACUUUAAGAAUUUUGGAAAAAAUUUCGAAACUUCAUCGUUAAGUCCCAGCUCUACACAGAAUCCCGUCAUCGUCAACUUCUAUUCCUUUAUGAGGUCCUCCACAAAAAAUCCCUACGAUUUCACAGAUUUUGGCAAAACAUCCACGCAGAAUUCUGACAUUGGCGAUAAAGGAGUCAAUUACGACAACGUUAACAACAACCACCUUAAAAGGUCGUAUAGUUAAUUUAAGGAGAGUAAGCUACAUUAGAAAUAAGGCUGACACCUGUUUACUUAUGGGCAGGAAAUGAACCCUACCACGGCUCGAUGCUUAAGUGAAAAACACGAGAAAAAGCCGAUUAAGUACCAUUUGUUGAGUUUGUAUUGAGAACUCGGUCGAGAAUCUGUGAUUACUGUAGCGAUUAGUUGUGUUUGACAUUAUGGUGAACAGUUUUGAGAGUUUAUAUAUGCAAGAGUUCUGAUGGAAGUUAUAAUUUUAGUGACAACUUCAACUGUAUGAAAGAAUGUAGUAAAAAUUGAUGUCGGAACAUAUCAAAAAUUUGUUAUCAAUAUGUUAAUUCAGUCAUUUAAAAUUCGAUUAAAGCUAAAACGAACUGAGUAAGAUAUUUUCAUUAAGACUACAUAUCAUUGGGGCGGUAUAUCAUCCCCUAAUUUUUUAAAUUUUAGAUUUUUUUCGUACUUUUUCAGAAUUUCACUAAUUAUUUGCGCAUGUAAACUUUGUAACAGGGGUGACUUCUUUUUUUAUUGUAAUUACCACCAUUUUGGAUUUUAUUUUUUUUUAAUAAAUUUUGUACAUAGCUUAGGGAAAUCGAAAGUAUGUAGUAGCGGUAGUGCGUUAAACGAGAAACGAAUCAGCCGCAGGCUUUAUUAAAAUAUUUUUUUAAGACAGUCCCGUAAAAAAAUAGUCCAUUAUACAGGAAGUUUCGAAAAACAAGCAAAAAAUGAAUCUGGAAUGAACUUACUAUUUCAAAAAUCAAAAAUUUCCGAAUUAAUAUUAGCCCUUAACCCAAAAACUCUUUAUAAGUAUUCUGUCAAAAUAAAUGUGGUGCAUAAAUAAUAAUUUUGUAAGUAACGUUUUAAUAAUAAUUAUAGAAAUCUUUUAAAAAUAUCACCAUUCAGAUAUAAAAAAUACUCCAAGGUUAAUAUAAAAAUCAAAUAUUAACCCUUUGUUACGCUCAACGGGCCGAUCUGGUGGCCUAAGUGCUUGGACGCCCACGGGGCCGCCCCCGUUUAAUACCAAAAACCCUUUGUUAAGCGAAAUAUUAUUUUUGUAUAAUCAAUAUCUAAUCAAGUUUUGCUGUCUUUUGAAAUAGCCUGCAUAAUAAUGCUCAUCCACCUCCUUCAUAGAACUUAUUUAUAUAUGUUUUUUUAAUGGCAAUAAUUUUUGUAGUUAAUAAUUAAAAAUAUAAUUUUUUGGCAAGAAAUGUCCAUUGUUGCUUUUUGUUUGUGAUGUGUUAAAACUCGGCGGUGAAGCAAUUCUUCUUUAGUUCGUAUUUUUGUUUACAUUGUUUAUUUCUCUUAUUUUAUGUUUCAAUGUCAUUUUCUUAAUGUACGUUCAUAGUGUAAAUAGUACAACAAAACAAGAAACUGCCAAUAUUUAUAAUACGAUUAUGAAAUAAUUAGGUGUAGCAAAGAAACAAGUUUUGUACAAUUCAGAAACCUUGCCGUUAUGUAGAUUGCAGACAAUUGAAGCAGCUUGCAAAUGGUGCCCAAUAAAAAGCAAUGUGAAUUGUUUCGUGAAGAAAUUGUUUAAAUUAUUCACCGAAAUUAAAGAAUUUUUACGCCGUAUAACCAAUUAAUAUUAAUUUGCUGGCGACAAUUAUUCAAGACGCGUUAAUAACCCUUUAACUGAUAAUGGUAAUUCUCGUUCAUUGAUAGUCGUUAAAUUUAACCGAAGCAAAUAUUGCUCUGUUCUGGGUUCCAGCUUUGUUAUAUUUUUAUUAAAAACACAACAAUACAUAAACAUACCACAUUUACAACACAGCGACUGUUCAAAUAUUAAUACGUAAUUAAAAUUAAAUUAAAAUACGUAAACAAUUAAGUACUGACGUAGAGACACAUAAAUUUUUAACGCCGUUAUGUAGCUGUAAAAAGUUAAACGUGAUGUACUUUUUUAUUUGAUCGACUUUUGCUUCCUUUUCAAUUAAUAUCUCAGGUUCAACAAUGUCUGAUGGGCUGAAAAACUCUACUGUUUCGAUUGUCUAAGUCUACUCUUGCUUAAAAAAGGAAAGGAAAAAUUACUAGGUACAUUUCCAGAAAUUUGUUAAUGUAGUUUUAAAAAUUUUUCCUUCGGUAUUACGCGUUAUGUGAUGUUAAGACAAUUUUUUAUUUCAACCAUGCAAUUUUUCAGUUACUACGGAAGCAAUUAUUGUUAUACAACGGAGCAGCAUAAAAAUAAAUUUCUUUUGGCAAAAGCAAUAAAUUUUACUGCUCGCAAAGUCUUUUUGUUUCAUUUGUAUCCGUCCAUAUUUUGAUAAGGCCAACAUGUGUUUUCUAA